AGAGUUUGAUCCUGGCUCAGAUUGAACGCUGGCGGCAGGCCUAACACAUGCAAGUCGAACGGUAACAUUUCUAGCUUGCUAGAAGAUGACGAGUGGCGGACGGGUGAGCAAUGCUUGGGAACUUGCCUUUGCGGGGGGGAUAACAGUUGGAAACGACUGCUAAUACCGCAUAAUGUCUACGGACCAAACGGGGCUUAGGCUCCGGCGCAAAGAGAGGCCCAAGUGAGAUUAGCUAGUUGGUAAGGUAACGGCUUACCAAGGCGACGAUCUCUAGCUGUUCUGAGAGGAAGAUCAGCCACACUGGGACUGAGACACGGCCCAGACUCCUACGGGAGGCAGCAGUGGGGAAUAUUGCACAAUGGGGGAAACCCUGAUGCAGCCAUGCCGCGUGUGUGAAGAAGGCCUUCGGGUUGUAAAGCACUUUCAGUUGUGAGGAAAAGUUAGUAGUUAAUACCUGCUAGCCGUGACGUUAACAACAGAAGAAGCACCGGCUAACUCCGUGCCAGCAGCCGCGGUAAUACGGAGGGUGCGAGCGUUAAUCGGAAUUACUGGGCGUAAAGCGCACGCAGGCGGUUUGUUAAGCUAGAUGUGAAAGCCCCGGGCUCAACCUGGGAUGGUCAUUUAGAACUGGCAGACUAGAGUCUUGGAGAGGGGAGUGGAAUUCCAGGUGUAGCGGUGAAAUGCGUAGAUAUCUGGAGGAACAUCAGUGGCGAAAGGCGACUCCCUGGCCAAAGACUGACGCUCAUGUGCGAAAGUGUGGGUAGCGAACAGGAUUAGAUACCCUGGUAGUCCACACCGUAAACGCUGUCUACUAGCUGUGUGUGUCUUUAAGACGUGCGUAGCGAAGCUAACGCGCUAAGUAGACCGCCUGGGGGAGUAC
rnacentral:rRNA from 1 species